rnacentral:rRNA from 1 species
UACAGAGGGUGCAAGCGUUGUUCGGAAUUAUUGGGCGUAAAGCGCGUGUAGGCGGCUUUGCAAGUCGGGUGUGAAAGCCCUCAGCUUAACCGGGGAACUGCGUCCGAUACUGGAUGGCUUGAGUUUGGGAGAGGGAUGCGGAAUUCCAGGUGUAGCGGUGAAAUGCGUAGAUAUCUGGAGGAACACCGGUGGCGAAGGCGGCAUCCUGGACCAACACUGACACUGAGGAGCGAAAGCCAGGGGAGCAAACAGG